GUGGAGCUGCUGGCGGGCACGCCCGGCGAGUACGUCUUCGAGAUCGCGGGCCUGCCCCGGAAUCUCGCAGGUAAAGGGCCGGAGGAGAUUCAGCGGCAGCUCAUGCGGUCGGCGAAGAUCUUUGUCGCAGGCCGCCGCGCGCUGACUCCCACGGUCGUGAAGACACCGUCGUACGGUGCGCUGGUCACGGCGUCGGCUCGCUUCCCGCGGUACAC
rnacentral:misc_RNA from 1 species